GGGGGUCAUAGCUCAGUGGUAGGGCUCCUGCCCUGCAAGCAGAAGGUCCCAGGUUCAAGCCCUGGUAUCUCCA